GCCCUAGACAAUAUCUAAGGUGUAACCUGCCCAAUGAUCUAAAAAUAAAAAUACAUAAAAAUAUUUAAUAAGAUUUAAAGGACGCAGUAACCUUGACUGUGAUAAUGUAGCAUAAUCAUUCGCCAUUUAAUUGAUGGAUAGUAUGAAUGGUUGAACGAAUAUUCCACUGUCUUAGAGAGAAAACCCAAAAAUUAGAAUAAUAGUUAAGAUACUAUUUUAAAUUGUAAGACGAAAAGACCCUAUAGAGCUUAACUACAAUCUCAUUAAAGAAAAAAAGAAAAGAAAUUCCUAACCUAAUGAGAUAGGUAGUUUAGUUGGGGCGACUAUCUUCUAAAUAUAACGAAGAGAAGCAAAAUUAAUAAAAAAUUUACUGUAUAAUCAAUAAAUUUAACAGUUACGAAAGUAGGUUAUAAUGACCCGUUGCAAAAAAAUAAAAACUACAACGAUCAAUAAAUAAAAGCUACCUUAGGGAUAACAGGAUAAUUUCAUUUUAGAGAUCCUAUCGAAAAUGAAGUUUGUCACCUCUAUGUUGAAUUAAGAUAUCCUGACAAUGCAGAAGUUGUCAAAGGUGGGUCUGUUCGACCCUUAAAAUCUU
rnacentral:rRNA from 1 species